GUGUACAGUCCAGCGGAAGGGUUUCCUUCCGCUGGACGAGGUACAUGUACCUCGUCCAUUGGAAGGAACGCCUUCCGCUUGGACGAGGUACAUGUACCUCGUCCAGCGGAAGGAAACCCUUCCGCUGGACGAGGUACAC
rnacentral:miRNA from 1 species